rnacentral:rRNA from 1 species
AACUCUUGGGAAACUGGAGAUAAUACUCGGAUAGAUGAUUUUUCCUGUAAUGGGUAUUUUGUUUAUAGGUUUUUUCCCCUAAGGAUGGGUCUGCGGUCGAUUAGGUAGUUGGGGAGGUAAUGGCUUACCAAGCCGUUAAUCGGUACGGGUUGUGAAAGCAAAAGCCCGGAAAUGGAACCUGAAACAAGGUUCCAAGCCCUACGGGGCGCAGCAGGCGCGAAACCUCCGCAAUGUGAGCAAUCGCGACGGGGGGAUCCCAAGUGCCAUUCUUAACGGGAUGGCUUUUCUUAAGUGUAAAAAGCUUUUGGAAUAAGAGCUGGAAAGACCGGUGCCAGCCGCCGCGGAAACACCGGCAGCUCUAGGGGUAGCUGUUUUUAUUGGGCCUAAAGCGUUCGUAGCCGGUUUAAUAAGUCUUUGGGGAAAACCUGUAUUUAACUAGGGAAUUG